rnacentral:rRNA from 1 species
UACGAACCGUGCGAACGUUGUUCGGAAUCACUGGGCUUAAAGGGCGCGUAGGCGGGUUUGCAAGUCUGUGGUGAAAGCCUCCAGCUUAACUGGAGAAGUGCCAUGGAUACUGCGCAUCUUGAGGAGGGUAGGGGCGUCUGGAACGGUCGGUGGAGCGGUGAAAUGCGUAGAUAUCGACCGGAACUCCGGUGGCGAAGGCGAGGCGCUGGACCCUUUCUGACGCUGAGGCGCGAAAGCCAGGGGAGCAAACGGG